GCCCCUUAUGUGUAGGGCUACACACGUGCUACAAUGGCUGGUACAGAGAGAUGCAAUACCGCGAGGUGGAGCCAAACUUAAAAACCAGUCUCAGUUCGGAUUGUAGGCUGAAACUCGCCUACAUGAAGCUGGAGUUACUAGUAAUCGCGAAUCAGAAUGUCGCGGUGAAUACGUUCCCGGGUCUUGUACACACCGCCCGUCACACCAUGAGAGUUGGCAAUACCCGAAGUCCGUGAGCUAACCGCAAGGAGGCAGCGGCCGAAGGUAGGGUCAGCGAUUGGGGUGAAGUCGUAA
rnacentral:rRNA from 1 species